rnacentral:lncRNA from 1 species
CAUCUAUGCUGAAUGUAUGGACAUUAAGAAUGGGGAGAUAUUGGGGUUGCCAACUUGGCCCAUUUCUCCUUAACUGUGUCCUUCCUAUUUUCUCUUCCUAUUUAAUGGGCAAGUCAUUUGAAAUGUCAUUUUGAUUUCAUAAUUAAAUGGAGAGAUGAGACCAACCUCAUUUCUCAUAUGCUGUUGUCUUGGACCAUCAUGCACUACAAUAUUCUAAUCACCUAGAACUAUACCUGGCCGUUGAAUCCAAACAGAAUUAGAACUACAACGCAGGCACACUACAAUAUCAUCAUCUCAAAAGCUCAAAAAAUGUCCACAGGUUUCAGCUUCUGGCCUCUUUUUGUUUGUAUUUUAAUAGACCAAAACAAAACAGAAUUUUUAAAACCCGAAACAUCUAUUUGGGAUAACAGUGGCACAACAAAUCCAUUCCUUGUUGGAAUAUAUGACCAUGGGAUAUAUUUAUGCUCCAAUCAGUAUAACGCAUUGGCCCAAAAAUGUUCCAUAGCAUUUUUCAUCAAACAUUGAUCUUGAUUAUUAUACUCUGGUUGUCAGUAUGAUGGACCCACAGUAUUUAAGGGGACGCAUGAAUUCUCAAUGGAUCAAGAAACACAAGACAUGCAUGUUUAAAGAAUAGCAGAUGCUAGGUUCAAGGUUCAGAAACUAGCUGCCCUUCUGAUGUUCUUGGACUCCAAUUCCCAUCAGCCCCAUUUAUGCCUAAUGGUGAGUAAUCAUGAGAAUAGUGAAGGGUCACAGAUCACCAACUUCUCGUUUAAAAUACUGCUUUGGAUUCGUUUCGUUUUGUUUCUUUACAGUUGGGAGAGGGGAUAGUAUUUUUGUCUCAAUCAUGAAAAUACCUCAGAACCAUCUCAUAAAGCUCACUACAUGGUACCCAUUCCACAAAAUCAAAAAUGUAUUUUCUUCUGAUUUGGUUGAGAAAACUGCUUUUUGGACCUUAUUUCCCAGAAAUUCCAGCUGGGAGAUUCUGCUGAAUCCCCUCCUGAGGACAGUCAACUGGCCCAUGGUUCCUUUUCUUCUAGGCAUUUGA